ACUUUCUUAGUAUAAUCAGUACGUCUGACUUCYAAUCAGCUGGCUCUAGAA
rnacentral:tRNA from 1 species